GACGAACGCUGGCGGCGUGCUUAACACAUGCAAGUCGAACGGAAAGGCCCUGCUUUUGUGGGGUGCUCGAGUGGCGAACGGGUGAGUAACACGUGAGUAACCUGCCCUUGACUUUGGGAUAACUUCAGGAAACUGGGGCUAAUACCGGAUAGGAGCUCCUGCUGCAUGGUGGGGGUUGGAAAGUUUCGGCGGUUGGGGAUGGACUCGCGGCUUAUCAGCUUGUUGGUGGGGUAGUGGCUUACCAAGGCUUUGACGGGUAGCCGGCCUGAGAGGGUGACCGGCCACAUUGGGACUGAGAUACGGCCCAGACUCCUACGGGAGGCAGCAGUGGGGAAUAUUGCACAAUGGGCGGAAGCCUGAUGCAGCAACGCCGCGUGCGGGAUGACGGCCUUCGGGCUGUAAACCGCUUUCGCCUGUGACGAAGCGUGAGCGACGGUAAUGGGUAAAGAAGCACCGGCUAACUACGUG
rnacentral:rRNA from 1 species